rnacentral:rRNA from 1 species
UACGUAGGGUGCGAGCGUUGUCCGGAAUUAUUGGGCGUAAAGAGCUCGUAGGCGGUCUGUCGCGUCGAUCGUGAAAACUUGGGGCUUAACCCUGAGCUUGCGGUCGAUACGGGCAUGACUGGAGUUCGGCAGGGGAGACUGGAAUUCCUGGUGUAGCGGUGAAAUGCGCAGAUAUCAGGAGGAACACCGGUGGCGAAGGCGGUUCUCUGGGCCUGUACUGACGCUGAGGAACGAAAGCGUGGGGAGCGAACAGG